AGCUCCAAUAGCGUAUAUUAAAGUUGUUGCAGUUAAAAAGCUCGUAGUUGGAUUUCUGAUUUGAAUGUUUGGUCCGCUUGUUAAUUCAAGUGUGUACUAUGAUAUUUGGGUCAUUUUUUGUGAGGAAAUUUUACUGCUAUUUAUUUAGUGGUUUUAUUGACUUGCAUCGUUUACUGUGAAAAAAUUAGAGUGUUUAAAGCAGGCGUUUGCCUUUUAUUGAAUACAUUAGCAUGGAAUAAUAAGAUACGACCUUGGUGGUCUAUUUUGUUGGUUUACACGCCAGGGUAAUGAUUAAUAGGGACAGUUGGGGGUAUUCAUAUUUCAGUGUCAGAGGUGAAAUUCUUGGAUCACUGAAAGAUGAACUUAGGCGAAAGCAUUUACCAUGGAUGUUUUCAUUA
rnacentral:rRNA from 1 species